rnacentral:rRNA from 1 species
UGAGGAAUAUUGGUCAAUGGGCGCAAGCCUGAACCAGCCAAGUCGCGUGAGGGAAGACGGUCCUAUGGAUUGUAAACCUCUUUUGUCGGGGAGCAAAGCGCGGUACGAGUACCGCGAAGGAGAGUA